UGUGGUUACAAUAGCAGAGAGGAUACACCUGUUUCCCAUUCCGAACACAGAAGUUAAGCU
rnacentral:rRNA from 1 species